UACGUAGGGUGCGAGCGUUAAUCGGAAUCUGGGCGUAAAGCGUGCGCAGGCGGUCUGUUAAGACCGAUGUGAAAUCCCCGGGCUUAACCUGGGAACUGCAUUGGUGACUGGCAGGCUUUGAGUGUGGCAGAGGGGGUAGAAUUCCACGUGUAGCAGUGAAAUGCGUAGAGAUGUGGAGGAAUACCGAUGGCGAAGGCAGCCCCCUGGGCCAACACUGACGCUCAGGCACAAAGCGUGGG
rnacentral:rRNA from 1 species